rnacentral:tRNA from 1 species
GGAGUUGUGGCUCAGUGGUAGAGCGCUUGCCAAGCACGUAUGAGUCACUGGGUUUGAUCCUCAGCACCA